rnacentral:rRNA from 1 species
UACGUAGGGUGCAAGCGUUGUCCGGAAUUAUUGGGCGUAAAGAGCUCGUAGGCGGUUUGUCGCGUCUGCUGUGAAAACCCGAGGCUCAACCUCGGGCCUGCAGUGGGUACGGGCAGACUAGAGUGCGAUAGGGGAGAUUGGAAUUCCUGGUGUAGCGGUGGAAUGCGCAGAUAUCAGGAGGAACACCGAUGGCGAAGGCAGAUCUCUGGGCCGUAACUGACGCUGAGGAGCGAAAGCAUGGGGAGCGAACAGG